UGAGGAAUAUUGGACAAUGGGCGCAAGCCUGAUCCAGCCAUGCCGCGUGCAGGAAGAAGCAUCUAUGGUGUGUAAACUGCUUUUGUACGGGAAGAAACACUCCUACGUGUAGGAGCUUGACGGUACCGUAAGAAUAAGGAUCGGCUAACUCCGUGCCAGCAGCCGCGGUAAUACGGAGGAUCCAAGCGUUAUCCGGAAUCAUUGGGUUUAAAGGGUCCGUAGGCGGUUUAAUAAGUCAGUGGUAAAAGCCCAUCGCUCAACGAUGGAACGGCCAUUGAUACUGAUAGACUGGAAUUACGAGGAAGUAGCUGGAAUAUGUGGUGAAGCGGUGAAAUGCUUGGAUAUUACAUGAAAUACCAAUUGCGAAGGCAGGUUACUACGUGUGGAUUGACGCUGAUGGACGAAAGCGUGGGGAGCGAAGA
rnacentral:rRNA from 1 species